GUAUUUUGGAGAAAAAAUUGGACUGUAUUUUGCCUGGCUGGGAUUAUACACGUCAUUCCUCAUCCCAUCUUCUGUAAUUGGAGUGAUCGUGUUUCUUUAUGGAUGUGCAACAAUUGAAGAAGAUAUUCCCAGCAAAGAGAUGUGUGACCAGCAGAAUGCCUUCACCAUGUGUCCUCUGUGUGACAAGUCCUGUGACUACUGGAACCUCAGCUCAGCCUGUGGUACGGCACGGGCCAGCCACCUGUUUGACAACCCUGCCACGGUCUUCUUCUCCAUCUUCAUGGCUCUGUGGGCUACCAUGUUUCUUGAGAACUGGAAGAGACUACAGAUGCGACUGGGCUACUUCUGGGACCUGACUGGUAUAGAAGAGGAAGAA